UUUGAAUUCAAUUAAUUAGCAUAUAGAGUAUUAUUAGUUUCAGAGGUAGAGGUCAGUGAUUCAUCAAUGGCAUAGAACACCCAGUGCUCAUCCCACACGUGCCUCCUUAAUGCUCGUCAUCCAGUUACCCUGUCCUCUCAUCCCUCUCCCCUCCAGCGACCCUCAGUUUGCUUCCCAGAGUUAAGAGUCUCUUAUGGUUUGACUCCCUCUCUGAUUUCAUCUUAUUUUAUUUUUCCCUCUCUUCCCCUAUGAUCCUCUGUUUUGUUUCUUACAUUCAACAUAGGAGUGAAGUCACAUAAUUGCCUUUCUCUGAUUGACUUAUUUCGCUUAGUGUAAUACCCUCUAGUUCUAUCCAUGUCAUUGCAAAUGGUAAGAUUUCAAAUUUUUGGUGACUAAGUGAUAUUCCAUUAUAUAUAUAUAUAUAUAUAUAUAUAUAUAUAUAUAUAUACACACUACAUCUCAAUAGAGUUCCUUUUUUUAUUGAUGAGCUGAUAUUCCAUGGUCUGGAUGUACUAAUUUUUUAACCAUUCAUCACUGAAGGGCAUUUAGAUACAUUUAGAUUCCUUUUUUUAAUGAGCUCAGUACCCAACGGGGCUCAAACUCACGACCCCACAAUCAAGAGUCACGUGUUCUGCUGACUGAGCCAGCCAGGUGCCCCUAUUUCUUAUUUUUAGCUAUUACAAAUAAAGCUGCCAUGAAUAAUCAUGUAUGUAUUUCGUGGGGAUAUUUCUCUGCAACAAAUGCCUAAGAAGGGCAGUCUCUGGGUCAUACAGUAAGUGUAUGUUUAGUUUUUUUUUUAGGAAACUGCCAAACUAUUUUCCAGAGUGGCUGCAUCUUAGUAACAUUUUAUGCUUUUCUCUGUAAAUAUUUUGUUACAGUCUAUUUUUAUUAUUAUCAUAAGUGGAAGAUUUUUUUUAAUGAUACUUUGCUUGCUCUGAUGUUUAUAAAUGCAAUUGCUUUUUAUUGAGGUCGACUUUACAUAAAAUAAAAUUAAUCAUUUUAAGGGUGCCUGGAUUGGCUCAGUUGGCUAAGCAUCUGCUUUCCACUCAGGUCAUGAUCCCGGGGUCCUGGGAGUGAGCCCCAUGUUGGCUCCCUGCUCAAUGGGAAGCCUGCUUCUCCCUCUGCCUCUACCCUCUGCUCAUGUCUCUCUGUCAAAUAAAUAAAAUCUUUUUUAAAAAUAAAUAAAAUUAAUAAUUUUGAAGUGUACGGUUCAGUGGAUUUUUAGUAUAUGCACAAGAUGUACAGCCAUCCCCAUGAAUUCCAGAACAUUUUCAUCACCCCAAAAAGAAGCUUUUACCCAUUAGCAGUCACUCCCCAUUACUCCCUCUGCCCCCUCAGACCCUGACAACUGUUAAUCCACUUUCUCUAUGGAUUUUUGUAUUUGGGAAAUUUCAUAUAAAUGGAAUCAUACAACGUGUGGCCUUUUGUGUCUGGCUUCUUUCACUGGGCAUCAGAUUUUCAAGGUUCAUCCACGUGUUGCAAUUCGUUUUUAAUAUUGAUUUGAUGUAGAAAUAUCCUGUACCUCUGUCAGAUUCCAUUCAUGGUUAAUUUCAUAUAUUAUUUGGGGCUUUCUCUGUAAACAAUCACGUCAUCUGCAAAUGAUGCCAGCUUUGCUUCUUCCUUUCCAAUCCUUAUACCUUGUCGUUGUUGGUUUUUUUCCCCAUCUCUUACCGCCCCAUCUAGGACCUCAGGUACAAUAUUAAAUAGACCCAUGGAUGUGAGAAAACUUGUCUUGCCCUGACUUUUAAGGAAUUUUGUCCAUUGUCCCUUUAAGAACCAUGUUUGUGUUGGGUUUUGUAGAUAAUCUUUAUCGGUUGAAGGAAGUUCCUUUCGAUUCAGUUUGCUAAAGCGUUUUUAUCAUAAGUAGAUGUUGAAACGUAUUGCCAGUGCCGGAAGGAUCGUAUGACUUUUCUCCCUUAAUUUAUUAACGUGACAGAUGGCAUUUAUAGACUUUCAGAUGUUAAACCACACUUGCAUUUCUAGAAUAAACCCCAUCGGUCAUGAGUUAUGUAUGCUUUUUUAUCCGUUGCUGGAUUUGUUUUGCUAACAUUUUAUUAGGGUCCUCGCAUUGAGCUUCACAAGUGGGACUGGUCUGUAAGGUCCCUUUGAAUGUACUAUUAAGUGGAAAAGAGCCAUCUCUGACCUAAGUGUCCCUCUCAGGUCCCUGUCUGCUCCCGCAGCUGGAGGAGGGUAGGGAGCCACCACCAGAUUCCCCGAGGUAGCUGCAGAGAUUCAGGACCUUGAGCUCUGGAAGGGUCCUCGAGGCUGUGACUCCCCAGCCCAGUCCAGGGGGUCCUGGGCCUCUCGUUGGAGAGGAAAGCUUAAGAGAAAUCUUCCCCUCCCUUCUUCUUCUGGUGGGGAUUGCCCUCCAGAGGAAGUGGCUGAGAAAGGCCCAGGGUCAGGGGUUAAUGACCCCAUUGUGCUAGGGCUGACGGGCUGGCAGUGGCAGCCCCAGGAAGAUCCCCUGCUCUGCUCUGGGCCAUCCUUCUAUAGAGGCUUCCAGGCUGGCCUUUGAUGACUGCUGAGGGCCACCCUCCUUGCCAUGGGGACCCGGGCCAGCCUCUUUGCUGGGGUCUGCUGCUGAGGCCCAGAACGUAGGCCUCUACGGUCCUGCUUCCCACCCACCCCCCUUUCCCAAGGGCGCUGGUCACACCUACCCCCUACCCCCUGACCCCUGCCUCUCCCCCAUCUCAGGCACCCUGUCCCUCUGGCGAACGACCACGUCCUCAGAAGUGACCUGAUGCAGUCCAACUAUCCCACAUUUGGGAUGGGAACCGGGUACGACCUAGUCUAGGCUCUCCUCGGGAGCUGCAGCAGGGGCACAGCCAGGUCCCAGGACUUCCCAUUCACACGUGCCCCUUCCCAGGGUGGGUGGACGCUGAGGUGAAUCAGGUGCAUCCUCCCUCCAGGGGCUCACAGGCUGGCAGAGAGGAGGUCAGAACGUGAAGAGAAAAGUAGAAGUGUGGGUACGCGGGUGGCUCAGCGGCUGAGCGUCUGCCUUCAGCUCAGGGCGUGAUCCUGGGGUCCUGGGAUCGAGUCCCACAUCGGGCUCCCUGCAGGGAGCCUGCUUCUCCCUCUGCCUGUGUCUCUGCCUCUCUCUCUGUGUGUGUCUCUGAUGAGUAAAUAAAUAAAAUCUUAAAAAAAAAAAAAGAAAAGAAAAGUCAAAGUGUGGCAAAUUCAGUAAGCACAGAGAACUAUGGGUGUCCGAAGAGGAACUCCUAGCCCAGCCAGGAGGUCAGGGAGGCUUCCAGGAAAUAAUGCUGGGCCAAUUCUAAAAGAGUGAGCCGAAGUUUGGCCAAAGAGAGUGGAUGCAGCAAGGAAAGGCAUUCCAGGCAGGGGGAACAGCAUAAGCAAAGGCACAGAGUAAAUCCAGCAUAGUGUGUGUGUGAGCCACAGCAUUUCAGUGGUGAGAGGUGAGGCUAAGCAGGUCAGCGGGGCCAAGUCUUCCAGGGACUGCUAUGCCAUGUUAGAGGUUUACACUGGUAGUUUGUCACUCAAGUGGGGAAGAGAGCUGAGAGCCAGGUUCUAAUUGUGCCCCUGUCCUCAUUCAUCCAGCUCCCAGAGCAGCAGUGUGACCCAGGGCAGGCCACUUCCUCAUGAACAGCCUCCCACAGGCUGGCCCCCUCUGGGCUGCCUGGUCCCGUCCCCCAAGUGGAACCUGGAAGACCCCACUAGACGAGCACAGACACCCCUUCAGUGAGGCAGGCGAGGGACGGGGUGUGCAUAGGCUGUUCUCGGUUCCAGAUUGGAAGUAGGGUGUGGGGGACAGGAGCUUGAAAGAGAGGGGUUCAGGGUGAAUAGCAGGUCUGCCUUUUGACUGCAGCAUCAUCCACGACAGCAUCAUGAAGCCACAUCAGCCCUGGAUGACCUAGCGGGGACUUCCAUUACAGGCCAGAAGCAACCCCCUCGAUGUUAUUGGAUUUUCUGUUAUUUGUAGUCAAAAUGCCUUCCUAACCGAUCCAAGCUCCUAACCUCCAGCUGGAAAAUAUAUAAAUAUACUCCAAGAUCUUAUAUGUUCACAGAAGAAGAUUUUCCAGAGAAAUAGGACGCCUUCUUAAAGACAGGAUACAUGUCACACCUUCAUUUCAAAUAACUUUAAAAUCUGCAAGCAUUUAUUAGAAAUACAAUAAGAGACAAAGCACUAAAAAUGUGUAAAUCACUUGCAGUUCCAUCACCCAGAAAUAACAAGGUUAGCAUUUUGGUGUGUGUGUGUUGUUGUUUUUUUUUUUUCAGGUUUUUUCCCUAUAUUCUAAAUUAAGUUGAGCUCACAGCAUGUCAUUUUUUCCUUUUUGCUUUUUAUUGAAUACGUAUGUAUUAUCUCAUCACAUCUUGGUUUUCACUUAAGAUUAUACCAAAAAUAUUUCCUUUGUCAUAUAAAAUUCUUCCUAAACACCAUUUUUUAAAAAAAGAUUUUAUUUAUUCAUGAGACACAGAGAGAGAG
rnacentral:lncRNA from 1 species